UACGUAGGGUGCGAGCGUUAAUCGGAAUUACUGGGCGUAAAGCGUGCGCAGGCGGUGCUUUAAGUCCGAUGUGAAAUCCCCGGGCUUAACCUGGGAACUGCAUUGGUGACUGCAUCGCUCGAGUAUGGCAGAGGGGGGUAGAAUUCCACGUGUAGCAGUGAAAUGCGUAGAGAUGUGGAGGAAUACCGAUGGCGAAGGCAGCCCCCUGGGUCAAUACUGACGCUCAUGCACGAAAGCGUGGGGAGCAAACGGG
rnacentral:rRNA from 1 species